ensembl:lncRNA
GUGUAGAAAAGUGCUGCAGAACAUACAAGCUUUUUUUUUCAGACAGCAGCACAGCAGCAAGACACCGAGUGGGAGAGGCAGGCUGAAUGCAGUGGUCAUGCAGAUGAUCAGAAUCUAAGGUGCUGUAAAGGAUCAUUGAAGAACUUUUAUUUUGAAGAGUGUAUCACAUCACACUCACACACCCAUUCAUACACUAUGGACACUUUGGACAUGCCAAUCAGCCUACCAUGCAUGUCUUUGGACUAGGGCAGGAAACGGAGUACCCGGAGGAAACCCCUGCAGCACGGGGAGAACAUGCAAACUCAGCACACACAGGGCAGUGGAGGGAAUCAAACCCCCAACCCUGGCGGCAUGCGGCAAACAUGCUAACCACUAAGCCACCAUGCACCCAAUUGAUGAAUGAUCUAUCUAUCUACCUAUCUAUCUAUCUAUCUAUCUAUUUUUUAAGCAGUAAGUAAUAUAUGUUACAGGAAUACAAAUCCAGUGCUGUUCUCUCUCUCUCUCUCUCUCUCUCUCUCUCUCUCUCUGAAAAACAGCGACAACAAAAACAAAUUAAAUCAGCAUUUCUGAGGGCCAAGCAUCUAGGCUCUGUGAGCCGCACAUUGACAGACGCACUACAAAUGUUGCAUAACAAUCACAGGAACACAGAUCUAAAACUAUAGGCAAUGCAUGAAUGAUUUGUAGUUUUACACAUUUGCCAAUCCAUUAUGGGAGAACAGUUUUGAAUAUCAGAGUUCCUUUGAUAACUUUUAUUUAGUCAGGUCUCAAGAUAUUGUAAGCGAAAUUUGGUGAAAAUUGGACAAAAUUUGGAGGAGG